ACCUGGACUAAGCCCAGAAACAUAGUACCACAGAGCUGAUGGGCCAUGUGCUUACUGAAGACAAGAUGUUUCCUUGCAUACUGUGCUAACUUUGCUUUUUGUGAUCCCUGCUAGGGGAGCUCUAGAAUAAGAGUCAGGGACCUCCGACUUUGCCAGCCAACAGCAA
rnacentral:ribozyme from 2 species